GACUCGAUAGCUCAAUGGGUAGAGCGGCUGUCUAGAUACCUGAAGAUGCGAGUUCAAAUCCCGCUCGAGUCA